rnacentral:rRNA from 1 species
AUUGAACGCUGGCGGAAUGCUUUACACAUGCAAGUCGAACGGCAGCACGGGGCAACCUGGUGGCGAGUGGCGAACGGGUGAGUAAUACAUCGGAACGUGCCCAAUCGUGGGGGAUAACGUAGCGAAAGUUACGCUAAUACCGCAUACGAUCUACGGAUGAAAGCGGGGGAUCGCAAGACCUCGCGCGAGUGGAGCGGCCGAUGUCAGAUUAGGUAGUUGGUGGGGUAAAGGCUCACCAAGCCAACGAUCUGUAGCUGGUCUGAGAGGACGACCAGCCACACUGGAACUGAGACACGGUCCAGACUCCUACGGGAGGCAGCAGUGGGGAAUUUUGGACAAUGGGCGCAAGCCUGAUCCAGCCAUUCCGCGUGCAGGAUGAAGGCCUUCGGGUUGUAAACUGCUUUUCCAGGGGAGAAACUUUCCGAUGCAUCGGGAUUUGACGGUACCCUGGGAAUAAGCAUCGGCUAACUCCGUGCCAGCAGCCGCGGUAAAAGUCACG